GUGGGGAAUUUUAGACAAUGGGCGCAAGCCUGAUCCAGCAAUGCCGCGUGCAGGAAGAAGGCCUUCGGGUUGUAAACUGCUUUUGUACGGAACGAAACGGUCCUGGCUAAUACCCGGGGCUAAUGACGGUACCGUAAGAAUAAGCACCGGCUAACUACGUGCCAGCAGCCGCGGUAAUACGUAGGGUGCGAGCGUUAAUCGGAAUUAUUGGGCGUAAAGCGUGCGCAGGCGGUGCUGUAAGACAGGCGUGAAAUCCCCGGGCUCAAACUGGGAAUUGCGCUUGUGACUGCAGUGCUGGAGUGCGGCAGAGGGGGAUGGAAUUCCGCGUGUAGCAGUGAAAUGCGUAGAUAUGCGGAGGAACACCGAUGGCGAAGGCAAUCCCCUGGGCCUGCACUGACGCUCAUGCACGAAAGCGUGGGGAGCAAACAGGAUUAGAUACCCUGGUAGUCC
rnacentral:rRNA from 1 species